UUAGAGGAAGUAAAAGUCGUAACAAGGUUUCCGUAGGUGAACCUGCGGAAGGAUCAUUAUCGAUUCAAAAAGGAUGUGCUGGCCGCAAGGCAUAAGUGCACUCCGAAUCUCACAUCUCCCUGUGCACUUACUGUGGGCGGAAAUGGGGCUUUUGUCCCAAUUUGCUCAUGUUUUUUACACACUCUUAUCACAUAUCAUGAAUGUAUACAAAGUAGGCUUUGUUUCAAAGCUGAAAAUAAAACAAUAUAACUUUCAACAAUGGAUCUCUUGGUUCUCGCAUCGAUGAAGAACGCAGCGAAUUGCGAUAUGUAAUGUGAAUUGCAGAAUUCAGUGAAUCAUCGAAUCUUUGAACGCACCUUGCACCCUCUGGUAUUCCGGAGGGUAUGCCUGUUUGAGUGUCAUUAACAUCUCAACGCUUGAUGGGUUCUUGUAACCCGUUCAGUGGUUGGACUUUGAAGGUUGCCGGUGUCAAAGCCAGCUCCUUUUAAAUGCAUGAGCAAGGACUAUUCCGAANCGGCUUCGGUUUGAUAAAUUUGACUUAUCUGAUGCUGUCGCUGAGGAACUAUGGUCGACNUGCUUCUAAUUGUCUUCGGACUGUCUCCUUGUGAGGCAACUACAUUGACUCUUGACCUCAAAUCAGGUAGGACUACCCGCUGAACUUAAGCAUAUCAAUA
rnacentral:rRNA from 1 species